UGAGCCCGGGAGGUGGAGCUGCAGUGAGCUGAGAUCACACCAUUGCACCCCAGCCUGAGCAACAGAUCGAGACUCCGUCUCAAAAACAAAACAAAAAAACCAUACUGAUUAUAAAAGUAAAGAAACCACCAUGAAGGAGACGAGACAGAGACAAAAACAAGAGGACUGGCAUCUCAGUGUACAUAAUACAGCCGCCUAAGAGACCACAAGAUACAUGCAAAUAAAAGACGGCUAAAAGGGGAAGAGAGAUCAACAUGCAGUAACAGGAUAGUAUGAAGAGAGAACCGGAAGAUUUAAAAAGUAACCCAACAGGCCAGGCGCAUGGCUCAUGCCUGGAAUCCCAGCACUUUGGGAGGCCAAGGUGGGUGGGUUGCUUGAGCUCAGGAAUUCGAGACCAGCCUGGGCAACAUGGUGAAACCCUGUCUCUACUAAAAAUACAAAAAUUA
rnacentral:lncRNA from 10 species